rnacentral:lncRNA from 10 species
CUUAAGAUGAUCUGCUGGUCAUAGACAAAGAUGUAUCUCUCAGUUACUCAGAUCUACGGUCUCUGUACAGUGAUCAACAACAGCUGCAAGGAUAUCUCUAGAGGAGACACCACCUUUUUAUUUUUGUGAACUUUCAAACGUGUAUUUUUAUUAUGAACAGCAUUGCAUAGGCGGAGGGCAUGAAAGGAAGAAGAUUCGGGACAAGAGAAUGAGAGGAGGGUUAGGUGGUCUGACAUGUGUCUUCAAAGAGGAGGUUGAUGUUUAACAAAGGAAUUAGGGUAACAGGAAAAAACAGGAGGGGAUUGAAGAAGGAUGGAAGACCAAGGUCUGGGGAAUGAGAAAUGCCAGCAGGGAGGACUGUGCUUCCUGGACCCUACUGUCCCACCAUGAAUAGGCUGGAGAACCACUCUUGCUGAGCCGGUUACUCUAUCCUAGAUCCCAGGGCCCAUUGAAGAUGCUAAAGUGUGAUGAUUUGCAGAUAAUUGGAAGCCAAUGAGGAAAGGAGAAGGUGUUCCAGGGUCUCUGUACCCUAAAGGCAGAGAGAGGACUGCAGCUACCUGGGGAAGCAGAUGGGGUGAAACUGUGAAACUGAAACAAUGCCUGGAGAGAAGCAAGAAAUGGAAGAGUAGAGGGUCAGCCUGGGACUGUGGUUGGGACCCCCCACCAUGGCCCUGCUGCUCCUCACUGUUCUGGGCCCAUGGAACUGUGGACACCCAGGACUCUCAAAAAUUGGGAAUCAGCAGAAGUUUAAAAGGGUCCUGGCAAGAAGGGAAAGCCCAAAAGAGCCUGGACCUGAUAAAACAACAGGGCCUUCCAGCAAGAGCCAGCAGGUAGUUGAGUGAUCUUCCAGCUUAGAUCCAACACCUCCCAGCUAUAAUCUACCUGACUGGCCCCAAAGAAACAGUGGAACAAUGGAUUGGAUGUGCAUAUUUCAGGAAAGUCAGCACCCUAAAGGGGGUAGCAGUUAAAUGGGAAACAAACACUGAGUUUUUACCCACCA